rnacentral:rRNA from 1 species
GACGAACGCUGGCGACGUGCUUAACACAUGCAAGUCGAACGGUGAAGCGCCUUCCUUUUUGGUGGGUGUGGAUGAGUGGCGAACGGGUGAGUAACACGUUAGUAACCUGCCCCCUUCUUCUGGAUAACCGCAUGAAAGUGUGGCUAAUACGGGAUAUUCUGGGUCUGUCGCAUGAUGGGUCUGGGAAAGAUAUUGUUUCGGUGGGGGAUGGGCUCGCGGCCUAUCAGCUUGUUGGUGGGGUGAUGGCCUACCAAGGCGGUGACGGGUAGCCGGCCUGAGAGGGUGGACGGUCACACUGGGACUGAGACACGGCCCAGACUCCUACGGGAGGCAGCAGUGGGGAAUAUUGCACAAUGGGCGCAAGCCUGAUGCAGCGACGCCGCGUGAGGGAUGGAGGCCUUCGGGUUGUGAACCUCUUUCGCCAGUGAAGCAGGCCUGCCUCGUUUGUGGGUGGGUUGACGGUAGCUGGAUAAGAAGCGCCGGCUAACUACGUG